UACGUAGGGGGCAAGCGUUGUCCGGAUUUAUUGGGCGUAAAGAGCUCGUAGGUGGUUCGGUAAGUCGGAUGUGAAAUCUCCAGGCUCAACCUGGAGGGGUCAUUCGAUACUGCCGUGACUAGAGUUCGGUAGGGGAGUGUGGAAUUCCUGGUGGAGCGGUGAAAUGCGCAGAUAUCAGGAGGAACACCCGAAGCGAAGGCGGCACUCUGGGCCGAUACUGACACUGAGGAGCGAAAGCGUGGGGAGCGAACAGG
rnacentral:rRNA from 1 species